rnacentral:rRNA from 1 species
UACGAAGGGUGCAGGCGUUAAUCGGAAUUACUGGGCGUAAAGGGUGCGUAGGCGGUUGUUUAAGUCUGUCGUGAAAUCCCCGGGCUUAACCUGGGAACUGCAUUGGUGACUGGCGGGCUAGAGUGUGGCAGAGGGGGGUAGAAUUCCACGUGUAGCAGUGAAAUGCGUAGAGAUGUGGAGGAAUACCGAUGGCGAAGGCAGCCCCCUGGGCUAACACUGAAGCUCAUGCACGAAAGCGUGGGGAGCAAACAGG